CCGAUUGUCACUGCUGCUGAAGUCUCUCCUUGCUAUUACGAGGGUGACACCAGCCUAUAGACUCUCCAGGAAGCAAGGGCAUGAAUAUGUAAUUUUGUACAGGAUUUAUUUUGGAGAAGUUCAACUGAAUGGCUUAGGAGAAGGCUUCCAGACAGUUCGUGUUGGAACAGUGGGCACCCCCGUGGGUACCCUCACUCUUUCCUGUGCUUAUAGAAUUAACUUGGCGUUCAUGUCCACCAGGCAAUUUGAGAGGACCCCACCUAUCAUGGGGAUUAUCAUUGAUCACUUUGUUGACCGUCCCUAUCCCAGCUCCUCUCCUAUGCACCCUUGCAAUUACAGAACUGCUGAGGAUGCUGGAGUCGCAUACCCAUCAGUGGAAGACUCUCAGGAAGUGUGUACCACAUCUUUUUCCACAUCCCCUCCCUCCCAGUGUGUGUUUACUGUCACAAAGGCACAUUUUCAGACCCCUACUCCUGUGGUGACGGACACUCUGAGGGUCCCCAUGGCAGGACUGGCCUUUUCCCAUCAACCUGCUGUCCUGGGCCUUGGAUCGGCUGACCUGGCUUAUCCAGUAGUGUUUACUGCUGGCUUAAACACUACACACGCUCACCAGCUGAUGGUUCCUGGGAAGGAAGGUGGGGUGCCUCUUGCUCCCAACCACCCUGCUCAUGGUGCCCAGGCUGAUCAGGAGAGACUGGUGGUGCACAUGCCUUCUGAUGGA
rnacentral:lncRNA from 1 species